rnacentral:rRNA from 1 species
UCCUGGCUCAGAACGAACGCUGGCGGCAGGCUUAACACAUGCAAGUCGAGCGCCCGCAAGGGGAGCGGCAGACGGGUGAGUAACGCGUGGGAAUCUACCUAUCACUACGGAACAACUCCGGGAAACUGGAGCUAAUACCGUAUACGUCCGAGAGGAGAAAGAUUUAUCGGUGAUAGAUGAGCCCGCGUUGGAUUAGCUAGUUGUGGGGUAAUGGCCUACCAAGGCGACGAUCCAUAGCUGGUCUGAGAGGAUGAUCAGCCACACUGGGACUGAGACACGGCCCAGACUCCUACGGGAGGCAGCAGUGGGGAAUAUUGGACAAUGGGCGAAAGCCUGAUCCAGCCAUGCCGCGUGAGUGAUGAAGGCCUUAGGGUUGUAAAGCUCUUUCACCGGUGAAGAUAAUGACGGUAACCGGAGAAGAAGCCCCGGCUAACUUCGUG